CACACUGGGACUGAGAUACGGCCCAGACUCCUACGGGAGGCAGCAGUGGGGAAUAUUGCACAAUGGGCGCAAGCCUGAUGCAGCGACGCCGCGUGGGGGAUGACGGCCUUCGGGUUGUAAACCUCUUUCACCAUCGACGAAGGUCCGGGUUUUCCCGGAUUGACGGUAGGUGGAGAAGAAGCACCGGCCAACUACGUGCCAGCAGCCGCGGUAAUACGUAGGGUGCGAGCGUUGUCCGGAAUUACUGGGCGUAAAGAGCUCGUAGGUGGUUUGUCGCGUUGUUCGUGAAAUCUCACGGCUUAACUGUGAGCGUGCGGGCGAUACGGGCAGACUAGAGUACUGCAGGGGAGACUGGAAUUCCUGGUGUAGCGGUGGAAUGCGCAGAUAUCAGGAGGAACACCGGUGGCGAAGGCGGGUCUCUGGGCAGUAACUGACGCUGAGGAGCGAAAGCGUGGGGAGCGAACAGGAUUAGAUACCCUGGUAGUCCACGCCGUAAACGGUGGGUACUAGGUGUGGGUUUCCUUCCUUGGGAUCCGUGCCGUAGCUAACGCA
rnacentral:rRNA from 1 species